rnacentral:rRNA from 1 species
CACGUAGGCGGACUUUUAAGUCAGGUGUGAAAUCCCGGGGCUCAACCUCGGAACUGCAUUUGAAACUGGGAGUCUUGAGACCAGGAGAGGUUAGCGGAAUACCGAGUGUAGAGGUGAAAUUCGUAGAUAUUCGGUGGAACACCAGUGGCGAAGGCGGCUAACUGGACUGGUACUGACGCUGAGGUGCGAAAGUGUGGGGAGCAAACA